CCCGCGGAGAAGGGGACUCCCCAGCAUUGGGCUUCCAGGCCCCACACAGGGUGCUAGGGCCUGAGACCUUGAGAGGCAGGUACAGGGACCUCGGCCUUUACAUUGACCCCUCACCUACUGCUCGGGGUGCUCUCUGUCACAUUGUCUCCUUGAGUCAUGGCCCAGGAGCUGUGUCAGUGAUUCUGAAACAUUUUGUUAGAAGGUUAUCUUUACAGUCUCACAGAUUACUGAGGACCCCAACGAUAAUUUUGCGAAUGUAGGUUAUAGCUAUCAAUAUUGAUCAUAGUAGGGAAAAGGCUGUUUAAAAAAAUUUACCAGGGCGCCUGGGUGGUUCAGUCAGCUAAGGGAGCAACUCCUUAUUUCAGGUGAUGAGAUCAAGCCACACCUCGGUCUCAGGGCUGACCUUGGAGCCCGCUUAAGAUUCUCUCCUCCCUCAGCCCCUCUCUGCUCACUCUGUAUCUCUAAGAAAGUGCAAAUAAUAAUAAUAAUAAUAAUUCGCUUAGAAUCAUAUUAAUAACCCAUGGCAUGAAAACAGCAAUGCUGUUUUUAUGAAAAAUUAGUUCCCCCAAAUUAACAGGGUAGUGAGAAGAGUUGGAUUUGUUAUACUUUGCAUUUUUGUAAAUCUUUUUCUUAACUACCUGAACCACUAGAUGUUCAGAUUUGCUUCUUUCUGCAUUUAUUGCAUUGCUUUGAGUGAAGUAUAUGAAAAACAUUUACAGCCUUGCACAGAGAUAGGAGAACAGUAGGUUUCAUAACCUUUUCAGAUAUUCAGCUUUGAUACUAUAUUCACACUACAUAAGUUGUACUUUCUCUAAGGUUAUUGGUGAAGUGGCACCUGAACAGUAUCAUUGGCUAUUUCCUUUUCUUUUACAUUAAAAUCCACAGGUCCAUCUUGUGCACUGAAUGGAUCUUGUACUAACGCAUGAAUUUUUUUUUAAGUAAUGUGUUGUUUCACUAAAAUCUUAAAGGUGUUUCAGUGUUGAAACUGAAAAGAAUUAUUGGAAAGUCACAUUUGUUUUAAUAUUACCACAAAUCCCAACAGAAAAAUUUGUCAGUAGUGAGAACCUGUCAGGUUUGUUGGUGGAUCACAGGUUUUCCAAAAUUGAGAGCUUAUAUUUGAUCAAGGCAACAAGUAUUCUCAGCUGUCCUGUGUGAGUUGAUUCAUGAAUGGAUACAUUCCUGUUCAUUUUCCAGAAACUGCCUGUCAAAUUGCCCAGUCUAAAUAAUACAAGUUUCUAUGUCAUCCAUUCCUUCAGGUAAAAAUGACAUUGUGUAGAGAAAAAAAAAAAAAAUGAAACCACUUAAUCAGUUAAGUUCAUACAAAUUUCAUACAAAUUAUUUACCUUGGAGCUUAGGGAUGUGGCAGACUGCUACUGCCCAUCUCACAUAUCAUGUAAGACAUGUUUAAAAAUGGAUUUGAGAAUAACUUAGUAAAGAUAAUAAUUUUUGAUGAUUCAACUGGGAUGUUUAAUGUGAUGUUAGCUUCUUUUUGUUUUCCACUGAGUCAUUUUAUUUACAUGUAUGUAUUACAUCCCUAGAAAAAGAGUCUCAGGGUUUUCCCUUGUGUGUGUUUUUGUCUUGCUUCUUCAGGGUCCAUGAUGCCAGCUGAGGUUGUCAGUUCAAAGAAACCAAACUGGAGGAAAGGGAAGAUUUUUCUGCCAUUUUGGUAGAUCUUUGAACUGUACAUCAAAUCUGGGGCUGACUGCUCCACACGUGUUUAACUUGUCCUUGAGGUUCCCAAAAAGGUUUCCAUCUCGGUGAUCAGUAGUGAUUUCAAAUUCCCAAUGUAACCGUGCUUCAUAUUUUGGGUUGGUGAGCACCAGGUGCCUCCCCCAGGCUUUAAGCUCCGGCCCAGCAACCACCUCCGGACACCCUCCAUGGGCUGUGGAUCUGUCCUCUCAGUUACCUGCUGCCCCACGUCUUCACCCUUAAUGGAGACUUUGAACCCUUGGUGUUUCUAGUUCCUCAUCACUUAACUGUCUUUUAACCUGGAAAAGUGAAAUAUGUUACAUAGAAAACGAAGUUGAGAUUUAUGGUUCCAUCAGCCCAAUUACGGUGUCCCUCUAAACUGUUCUGGAAAGGCACAGUCAGGUUGAAGAUUUUCUGGGAAGAGCUCUGUGGGGUUUCAUGCCUUUCUUUGGGGCUUGGGGAUCUCCCUUCAGUGUGUCUUGUGCUUUCCAUGGCUUUGCAGGGGAAUCCUAGGAGGCCCCACAUAGGUCAGUGCACUGUACGUAUUGGGUACAGAAAUGAGUAAAUGGUUGGAAGCACCAGAAAAAAAAAAAACCAAAGAAACAAAAAACAAAAACAAAACCAUGCUUUGUCAUCACAGUUAGAAACUGGGCAAUGACUUUGGAGCAUGGACUAAUAAGACUUGACUUUUGCCUCUGUUCUAGGCAUAGUGACUGCUCUGGAGAGCAUCUGCCAAGAUAUUCAUGUGACUGUUAAGGUGGAUCAGAAAGUUGGCCGAAAGAGUGUUUUUGUUUUUUUUAUGAAAGCAAGUAAUGGUGAAGAAUAACAAUUGCCUUGUGGACCCAUCACCUCCAUUCUUGUUAAGUUUUACCUCAGUGCGAGUGUCAACAUGGUGAAAAUGUCUAAGUGGUGUUAUAACAGUUUUAACCUUGUGGAUUCUGUGAAAGGGCCUCAGUGACUUCAGGUGUUCCCCAGAACACACUUUGAGAACGGCUGCUCUGAACAACCCUGGGAGAGUCUCCCACCGACCCUGCCCUGGCCUCCUCCUCACUCAGCAGAAUCCUUUUCCCUGAGAUGCACUUCCUGCCUCUGAAAACUGAGCUCUGACUUUAGCCCCUGAGUGCAUCUAGAAGAGACCUCACCUCCUGAAAAUGUGAUGGCAAAGAGGGUCCCCAGUCUGGGAAGGGAAGUAGAGGACAGGGAUUUCCCUUUUGUAACUGGGGACAGUUUGCCCCUGAAGGCACCAGACCCAGGCAUAAUCGACUUUGAUUUUGUGACAUAUCAGCUUCAUAUGUGUUCAAAUCCCAGACAGAAAUCUGGUGUCAUCUGUAAGAGAAAUCAUGUUGGUCUUUUCACUUUACAUGUGUCUCAUGCAUCUGACUUGAGACUCACCAAGUAUGGAGAGCAGUACCACCCAAUACUACAGUCUAUGCGGAAGCAAUUGUUCUGUAUCCACACUGUCCAAUAUGGUGGCCACAAGAUACAUGUGGUUCCUGAGAUGCAGGUGGCACUUGAAAUGGGGCUGGUGUGCUGAGCAGUUGCAUUUUUAAUUGUUUUAAGUUAGUAGGAAUUUAAGUAGCCAUAGUGGCUCAUAGCUACUAUUCAGACAGUAUGUACCUAAAACACUCUUAGCUGUCAGGAUCCUCCUCAAAGAAGAUACUGUGUGACUCAUAGGUGUAUGUGUAUUAAACUUGCCUUUAAAUGGAAGUUAUGAAGUUGUCUAUGUUGGUCUGAGACAUAGCCUUAAGAGACAGCAUGAAAGUUUAAUUAACUUGCAUUAUAACAGCUAAAGUGUGCAGACAUUAACCAAAACAUAAUGUAUCACAUCAAGGUCAUAUAAGUGUUGAAAAAAGCCCAUUACUGGAGCUAACUGAUGUCUCUAUUACUUUGGCUGUCGUCUUGGUGUUGUUUGCAUUCAGCUGGUAAACAUAAGCAGGCAUAUAAGUCUUCAUUGAGCCCAAAUGAGAGGAUUUAUUGAACACACAUAUAUCAGAUACCUCGUAGGCGCUGUACAUACUUGUAAAAAUCAUAAAGCAGAAGAUGGACAUCUUAGAUUCCACCACCUUAGAAACUUUAUGUGUUCUCCUCCCCAUACUUUUACCCAAAUUCAGACAAUUCUCUACAUUUCCCUUCUCCUUCAAAACCCUCUGCUCUUCAUUUCCACUGAGGGGAAAAUAUACAUGAAAUGUUUACAAGGGUGGGAUGAAGAAUUCUCUAAGCAUGGCCUAAUGAUGAAAACCCAUAAAGAAGAACAUGAAAUUUCGGCAUGUGAUCCACACACUCACAAAGAUACAAACACAUGUCCAUGAUCAAAGUAAAAAACAGAAAAACAAUAUUCACAGAAAAAGGGUAACAUGGUUCAAUAUUGUUGAGCCCAAGACCACUAGGAGGACCUGUGAGCAUUCAAGUUGGAUCUAUUACCUAUUGCAGUGAGAGAGAACACACCCCUUUGGGGGCCAUGGGACAUCUUAAUUAAUGAAGGUGUUAGAACCUGUGGGACAUGGGCUUUGGAUGGGAGUUUUGGAGAGGAUCCAUGGAUGUGGGGUCCACUCCCAACUGCAUGUUGUCAGGAUGUGUACACAAAUCCUAUGGCUGAGCAUCUCGGUGAGUCCGCUCUCCAGGCAGGCCAGACCAGAGUGAGGAGAGAGCAGUCAUGGUAAAGAAGCAGCAGUUGCUCACACUGGCUGACACAGGGAGGUGUAUGUUAUUCUGUGGGUUGUUUAGUGCCUUGUUUUGUCUGUAAUGACACAAAGUGAAGUUGUGGUUUCAGAGUGUCCUUGUCUGAUGCUGAUGUUUUGUGAGGUGACUGACUUAUGUCCCACAGGAGAGGAAUAUGGCCAAAUGGACAUUCACCAGCUUCUGACCACUGAGUCCAACUGUCAGUGUCAGACCAGCUUCUGCUAUUGGGGGCUGCUGGCUCUUCUCUCUUCAAUUCCAUAUUUUAAAAUAGGCACAACCUAUUGAAAACACAAUUAUAGAAUUGGUGUUUCAAUAACUUUGGGUAAAUACCCAAGAAUGGAAUUGUUAGAUUAUAUGGCAGAUCACUAUGUUGUACACCUAAAAGGCAUGGAAUAUUGUGGGUCAACUGUACUCACAUAAUAAAAGAGAAAAUGAAAGAAAAAGGAAUUAAAUAAUUACAAGACAAUUUGGAAAGGACGAAAUGAAAUAUCAAACAAGUAUAUUGUAAUAAGUAAACAAAAACAAAAAUGAGAAUGUGCACUAAGAAAUGGGAAUAGAACUUAGAAUAUAUGAACUUAACACAGAUGAAAGUAACUGAUGAGAGUGCCCCAUAGAAGGGUCAGUAAAACACACCAUCCUAAAGUUGAUGGGAAGGUCGCCUAGAUGGCUCAGUCAGUUAACAGACUCACGUGUGAUUCUGACUUAGGGCAUGAUCAUUUGGGUCAUGAGAUCCAGCCCUAAGUAGGGCUCUGCACUCAGCAGGGAAUCUGUUUGAGAUUCUCUCUGUCUGCCCCUCCACCCACUCAUACUCUCUCUCAAAUAAAUAAAUAAAUCUUAAUAAAAAAUAAAUAAAUGUUGAUGGGAGUGAACACUGGUAUAUAGUUUUUAAUGGGUGUUUUUGAAAAAUAUCUCCAUAAUUUAAAUGCGCUUAUAUUGUGACACAUACAUAUUCUUUUAGGAGAUUAUCCUAAGGAGUUAAUCACACAUGUUUUUGAAAGCAUAUUUUCAAGAACGUUUCUUGAAUUGUGGUUUAAGAAAACAAAGAAUAAAACUUAUGUAAGUAUUAUAAUCAAUAUGAUAAUUGUGAGUAUAAAUAGUGGAACACUUAACAUGUCUUGGGGAUUAUCAUCAUGUGUUUUACACAGAGUGUCAAACUUCAUCAUGAAAUAAAACUCAUGAGGCACCCCAUAGGGGAUCCCUUUGUACAGACAGGCAAGAGAGGACUUGGAGAAAAGGAGGUGGUAGAGGCAGGGUUCAGCCCAGAAAGUUUGCUCUCAGAGGCCUUGCUGACUUGUCUUUUACUGUUAGCUAUCCUUCAGAAGGGGUUUGAUGUGCACUCCAUGCUAGCAAGCUGUUCCAAUGUUCCAGAAUGUUCUGUGAUGGGAGGAUGCUGGACUCAGAGCCUAGGAGGACAUUAACAAGCAAUAUGACUCAGCUGUUCAAAGCACACUAAAGUCCAUCAUCCAGUGGAUAUCUCGAGGCCUCCAGGAGCUUAGGAUCAGCUGACCUCUGGAGUUACAGCACAGAGUAACAGCAAGAGUGACACCCUGGUCACAGGACACUGGCAGAGUCAUGUGGGAGAUGGGCAUGGAGCAAAAAUGACAGAAGGCAAUGUAAGUCGCUCCUGAGAUGAGUGCUAUGUGGAGAAAGGUCAUGAUAUCAUGAAAGCAGAAUCCAGGAGACCUAGCAGGUCCCCUACCACUAGCAUCAGUCUCAUCUAUAGGAUGCACCAGGCAUAUGGGUAUGAAGCAAAAACACAACUCCACACAGUGCUGUACAAUCAUAGAGCAGGAGAGAGCUGUGGGGAAAUAAUAAUAUGACCAUAGGAAUGAAUAAUUGAGUGGAUACACUGGAUGAUUACAGUUGUCCUUCCCCAAAGCCAUACAAUCAGGAGGGUGAUGGCAACAGGAGAGAAGACCUCUUUGUUUCUUAAUCAAGUGAUUCCAACAAGUUAAUAAUAAUUGUUUUAUAAAGAAUGGAGAUAGGAAAUGAUGAAAAACAAUUUCAGGAAUAUUUCUUCAAUUUCACAGGGAAAGACCUACCCAAAUUCUUACCUAGAGGAGAGGAGACCCACACCAGGACACAUCACAGUGAAAUGUCACAAGGAGGAUGGAAGGGCAAACACCCUGAAGACUCCAAGAGGCAACACAGGCCUAUGGGCUGGAAGACAUGAGACAAGGCCCCCAAAUCCUGAGGACAACUCUGUCCAGCACAAAGUCUCUGUCACGUCACCAUGUGACUCAGGUCAUCCCCACAUGUUUCUAGGAGGAAUGGCUGAACCAGAAAAGAGGGGGAAGUGCAUGAUACAGGUGAGUGAGGGGCCAUGUGUGCCCACAUGGAAGGGGAGCCUGAGACAGGAAGACCCUUCCCCCAUCACUGCUUAGAAGGUGAGGACACAGGUGCAGAGGUGGGGUGAGGGGUGGGGAGAGUGUGCAGUUCUCACCUGAGUCUUUCUUUUCUGAGUGAGAAAGAAAUGACUAGGGAAAUGGCAUCCAGAUAAAGCAGGGCUGGAGCCCCUUGAGCUCUGUGCUCUUCACUUUAUAGAGACAGACUUCUAGCAUUAGGAGGACAUAUAAGAGACUAGAAGCAAAUGCAACAAAUAGCUCAGGUAUAAAGACUACCAUCCUUUUUAUCUUGUCAUUUAUCAUCUUAUCAAUUUAUAAUUUUUCUGCAGUGAAUAUAUGUGACACUCUGUAUUGUUCAUCAUCAUACACAUCAGAAUCAGAAUGUAAAUGUUUUAUUUAUACUUUAAAAGGGAAAGAGAUGGUAAGAAAGAGCAGCUCAGGGCACAGAGCUGAAAGGUCUGGGCCUGCCUGUCUGCACUCUGUGCAGGGGACUCACAGAGCCUUUGCUCCAUGUUUCAGGACCCUGCUCUCUGGGGGGCCAAGUAGGGUCUUUCCCCUCUUUCUGGGGUGUGCUCAUUAACUCAUUUAUUACUGUCUUGUGAACCUUAGUGCUUUCUAGAUGAUGGUUUUUCCAAGUUACAUGACAUUUCAAGCUAUUUCAGUGGGAGAAUUUGUCCAUACAAUCCAGCCCACAUGCUUUGGAAAUGGAAAUUUGAGGUGAAAUCAUCCCUCUGAGGGCAUCUUCCUUGUGCUGAUCUGCUCCAGACUGACGGAUGGGGUGACAUGAGUAAAAUGUUUCCUGCACUUUUCUAUGUAGCCAUCCUUGGGUUUUGUGCUCUAAAGCAUUCUGCUAUUUCCUCAGGGUGGUCCAGAGCUUUCCCAGAGCCACUGUCAUCAAUUAUGUAGUUUAUUGUUUUUAUUGAUGUUUUUACAGAAACAAGGGUUGUACCUGAUUAAUUGAUUGAUAAAUUGAUAUUUUUAUCGUGUGUGUGUGUGUGUGUGUGUGUGUGUGUGUGUGUGUGUGUGUUGUUUUUCUAGAGAGAACAGUAUUGGGAGGCUCCUAGUCAACCAUCAUCUGACUUCAGCUGGAACAUCAGUAAGACUGUUGCCUUAACGCCCUUGUCUAGCAGGUUUGCCAUCUGCUUGUGUACUGAACACAUUAGAGGACAAUUGUACAGAUUUCUUCUACCAUCUGUUCAGGUCCUAGCAUCUGUCCCCAUGUGAUGGGCCUUGCAAUCCUUUAGCACAGGUGCCAUCCAUGCUGUUGCCAGCCAGAGUCACUCCCUUUGGUGCUGCCCUAGAUCGCGUCCCUUCUUGUCUGAUUACAAGUACUUAUCCAGCAAUUCUUCCCCUGUUCUCUUUUUCUUCACCAAUGUUUGUUCUCAAGUGAAUUAUAGUGGUGGCUUUGAGAAGACACAACCCUGACCCUUGGCUUGAGGGUAUGUAACUGAUCCCUGGCCCUGGCUGUGUGCCCUCAAAUCUGAUGCCAUGUGUGCUCUUAGAAUGCACUUCCUCUAGAAUUCCUCCAGCCUGUCCUUGAGAACAGCACAGAAACUGAGGCAGAACUCUUUCUCCUCUGCAGGCUGACUGAGGCUCCAGGGCUUCCUGAUACCCUGAUAAACUUGUCUGACUCUGCACUGGGUCUAGGACACUUCUAGCCAAACUUCCUUCUCUCUCCUUCCCUCGGAUUCAGACUUGCAUCAAGAUUUGCUGUUCUUCCAGCCUUUCUGGCUCCUUCGCCAUGUCUUCUCACAAGGCUUUCUCCUAACACAUUCCUUACAGUCAGUUCCCCUGUGGGAAAAACCCAAGAUCCUGCAGACAUGAUCAAUUUCCUCCCAGUGGAUGCCCUUCAGCACCCUCUGGACACAUGAAGGAGGCUCGCCCUUCUCUACUAAUGGUUAACACUUCCUGUGCUGGACAAUGGUGCAGAUGCAAGUGGUAUCUACUCAGUAGGUUUGCGAGAAUGACCUAGCAUGCAUGUGUAGGAGCAUGAACAGCAGCUCUGGGAUUGGAUUCUGAGGAUGCUUGAUCGAGGGGCCAGAAUAUCAGGAUGGAGAAGGGAAAAUGCAUUGACUAGGAGCACUUUUCAGGAUGUGGUUUUAUCCAGAAGCCCAAGACAUGGGACAAUAUCACCAUUGGGGUGGCUCUAUGUAGAUGGGGAAAGUGGUGUCCAACUCUCCACAAAGUAGACAUGACUUAGUUGCCCUAAUAAAGAGACAGUAAAACUUGGGAUAAAGAAGCUGAAGGAAGUAGACAUGCAGAAUGCAGGUAUUAUGUGUAGAAAAAAGACCCACCAGAUGAUUACAUUCCACAAGAGGAUCCUGAAGACUCACCUUUCCUGAAAGUCAUCAGCAAAGUGUUGGGAAGAGGGAACAGGACAUCACUAGAAAUUUGAGGGUAUUUUCCUCUACAGGGCAGAGAUCAGGCAGGACAGAUGUCCUAGAAUUCGCUCAUUAAUAUCAGUGGGGAUGAACGGGCCCUGAAUAGACAGGUGGGAACUCCAUGAAAGGUAGAUUGGGUGAAGGACCUCUUCCACCAGGUAUUCAAUCAAACACUGAUGUAGGUGCUGUUGGCCAGGAACCUUGCAGAUAUGUUAGGUCUCAAAUCAGCUGACUUUAAGACAGGGAGAUUCCCCUGUCUUAGAUUCUCCUGGUGAGGUGAGGAUUUAAUUAAUUAAUUAGUUAAUUAAUUAAUUUUGCCUUUAGUUUUUUUUUUAAUUAUGUUCGGUUAGCCAGCAUGUGGUACAUCAUAAGUUUUUGUUGUAGUGUCCAAUGAUUCAAUAGUUGUGUAUAAAACUCCAUGCUCAUCCCAACAUGCGCCCUCCUUAAUACCCAUCAUCUAGUCACCCCAGACUCCCAUCCACCUCCCUUCUGUAAACCUCUGUUUCCUGGAGUCCACAAUCCCUCAUGGUUUGUCUCCUUCUCUGAUUUCUUCCCACUCAGUUUCCCCUCCCUUCUCCUGUGGUUCUGCAUGCUAUUCCUUAUGUUCUAUAUAUGAGAGAAACCAUAUGAUAAUCAUCUUUUUCUGCUUAACUUAUUUCACUUAGAAUAAUCUCCUCCAAUUCCAUCCAUGUUGAAGCAAAUGGUGAGUAUUCAUCCUUUCUGAUGACUAAUACUCCAUUCUAUUUAUGUACCACAUCUUUUUUUUAAUCCAUUCCUCUGUUGAAGGGCAUCUUGGUUCCUUCCAUUGUUUGGCUGUUGUGGACAUUGCUGCUAUGAACAUUGGAGUACAUGUGCCCCUUCUUUUUACUACAUCUGUAUUUUGGGGGUAAAUGCCUAGUAGUAUAAUUCCUGAAUCAUAGGGUAGCUCUAUUUUUAAAGUCUUGAGGAAGCUCCAUACUGUUUUUCAGAAUGGUUGUACCAGGUUGUAAUCCCAUCAACAAUGAAAGUGGGUCCCCUUUCUCCACAACCUUGCCAACAAUUUCUUUUAACUAUCUUGUUAAUUUUGACCAUUCUAGCUGGUAUAAGGUGGUAUCUCAUUUAUCUCAUUGUGGUUUUGAUUUGUAUCUCCCUGAUGGUUAGAGAUGUUGAACAUUUUUUCAUGUGUCUGUUAGCUAUUUGAAUGUUUUCUUUGGAGAACUGUCUGCUUAUGUUUUCUGCCCAUUUCAUGACUGGAUUAUUUGCUUUUUGGGUUAUUGAGUCUGAUAAGUUCUUUAAAUCUUGAUAUAAAUAUAUUGGAUAUAUUGAUAUCCAAGAUCUAUCUAUUAUAGAUCUUAGAUAUCAGCCCUUUAUCUGAAAUGUCAUUUGCAAAUAUCUUCUCCCAUUCUGGGGAUUGCCUUUGUUUUUGUUGACUGUUUCCUUUGCUGUGCAAAAGCUUUCUAUCUUGAUAAAGUCCCAAAAGUUCAUUUUUGCUUUUGUCAAAGAGGUUCCUGACUAUGUUCUCCUCUGGGAUUUUGAUGGAUUCCUAUCUUUCAUUUAGGUCUUUCAUCCAUUUUGAGUUUAUUUUUGUGUAUGGUGUAAGAGAUUAUUUCAUUCUUCUGAAUGUGGCUGUCCAGUUUCUCCAGGAUUAUUUAUUGAAGAGACUGUCUUUUUUCCAUUGGAUAUUCUUUCCUGAUUUGUUGAAGAUUAUUAGCUGGCCAUAGAGUUGAGGGUCCAUUUCUGGACUCUCUAUUCUGUUCCAUUGAUUUGUGUGUCUGCUUUUGUGCCAAUACCAUGCUGUCUUGAUGGCCACUGCUUUGUAAUAUAGCUUGAAGUCAAGCAUUGUGAUGCCCCCACCUUCAGUUUUCGUUAUCGGCAUUCCCCUGGCGAUUUGUGGUCUUUUCUAGUUGCAUACAAAUUUUAGGAUUAUUUGUUCCAGCUCUGUGAAGAAUGUCAGUGGCAAUUUGAAAGGGAUUGCAUUGAAAGUGUGGAUUGCUCUGGGCAGCAUAGACAUAUUCAUAAUGUUUAUUCUUCCAAUCCAUGAGCAUGGAAUGGUUUUCCAUCUCUUUGUGUCCUUCUCAGUUUCUUUAUAGGUGUUCUGUAGUUUCUAGAGUAUAAAUCCUUUACCUCUUUGGUUAGGUUUAUUCCAAGGUAUUCGAUGGUUUUUGGUAUUAUUGCAAAUGGAAUCCAUUCCUUAAUUUCUCUUUCUUCAGUCACAUUGUUAGUGUAUAGAAAUGCAACUGAUUUCUGUGCAUUGAUUUUGUAUCCUGCCACAUUGCUGAAUUGCUGUAUGAGUUCUAAUAAUUUGGGGGUAGAGUCUUUUGGGUUUUCCACAUAAAGAAUGUCAUCGGCAAAGAGAGAGUUUGACUUCUUUGCCAAUUUGAAUACCUUUUAUUUCUUUUUGUUGUCUGAUUGCCGAUGCUAGGACUUCUAGUAUUAUUUUGAACAAUAAUGGUGAGAGUGGGAAUCCCUGUCAUGUUCCUGACCUUAAGGGAAAAGUUUUCAGUUUUUCCCCAUUGAGAAUGAUAUUCAUGAUGGGUGUUUCACAGAUGGCUUUUAUGAUAUUAGGUAUGGUCCCUCUAAUCCUGUACUUUGAAAAGUUUUAAUCAGGAAGGGAUGCUAUAUUUUGUCAAAUGCUUUCUCUGUAUUGAUUGAGAGGAUCAUAUGAUUCUUGUCUUUUCUUUUAUUUUAUUUUUUUUUUUAAAGAUUUUAUUUAUUUGUCAGAGAGAGUGAGCGAGAGCAAGCACAGGCAGACAGAGUGGAAGGCAGAGUCAGACGGAGAAGCAGGCUCCCUGCGGAGCAAGGAGCCCGAUAUGGGACUCGAUCCCAGGACGCUGGGAUCAUGACCUGAGCUGAAGGCAGCUGCUUAACCAACUGAGCCACCCAGGCGUCCCUGUCUUUUCUUUUAUUAAUGUGGUCUGUCACACUGGUGGAUUUCCAGAUGUUAAACCCAAGAAUAAAUCCCUCCUGGUCAUGGUGACCAAUCCUUCUAAUGUGCUGUUGGAUCUUAUUGGCUAGGGUCUUAUUGAGUAUUUUGGCACUGGUAUUCAUCAGGGAUAUUGGUCUGUAAUUCUCCUUUGAGAAUUGAUGAGGUCUUUGUCUGGCUUGGGGGUCAAGGCAAUGCUGGCCUCAUAGAAUGAGUUUGGCAGUUUUCCUCCCAUUUCUAUUUUUUGGAACAGUUUCAGUAGAAUAGGUAUUAUUUCUUCUUUAAAUGUUAGAUAGAAUUCCCCUGGGAAGCCAGGGGAAUUCUGGACUCUUAUUUAUUAUUUCAAUUUCCUUUCUGGUUAUGGGUCUAUUCAGAUUGUCUAUUUCUGCCUGUUUCAGUCUUGGUAGUUUAUAAGUUUCCAGGAAUGCAUCCAUUUCUUCUAGAUUGCUUAAUUUGUUGGCAUAUAGUAAUAAUUUCUAAUACUUGUUUCUAUUUCCUUGGUGUUAGUCAUGACCUCUGACCUUUCAUUCAUGAUUUUAUUAAUUUGAGUCCUUUCCAUUUUCUUUUCAACAACUCUGGCCAGCAGUUUAUUGAUCUUAUUAAUUCUUUCAAAGAAUGAACUUCUAGGGGGGAGGAGUCAAGAUGGCGGAGAAGUAGCAAGCUGAGACUGCUUCAGCUAGCCGGAGAUCAGCUAGAUAGCUUAUCUAAAGAUUGCAAACACCUGAAAAUCCAUCGGCAGAUCGAAGAGAAGAAGAACAGCAAUUCUGGAAACAGAAAAUCAACCACUUUCUGAAAGGUAGGACCGGCGGAGAAGUGAAUCCAAAGCGACGGGAAGAUAGACCCCGGGGGGAGGGGCCGGCUCCCGGCAAGCGGCGGAGCAACCGCGCACAAAAUCAGGACUUUUAAAAGUCUGUUCCGCUGAGGGACAUCGCUCCAGAGGCUAAACCGGGGCGAAGCCCACGCGGGGUCAGCGUGGCCUCAGGUCCCGCAGGGUCACAGAAGGAUCGGGGGUGUCUGAGUGUCGCAGAGCUUGCGGGUAUUGGAACGGGAAAGCCGGCUACAGAGACAGAGCUGACAGUAAGCUCGCAGCUCCGUGUUACCUUGAACCGGUCGCAGGCUCGGUGAGCUCGGAGCGCGGCCGGAGGUCAGGCAGACGGGAGUGACUGGGCGCUGUUCUCUGAGGGCGCACUGAGGAGUGGGGCCCUGGGCUCUCGGCUCCUCCGGGCCGGAGACCAGGAGGCCGCCAUUUGUAUUCCCGUCCUCUGGAACUCUACGGAAAGCGCUCAGGGAACAAAAGCUCCUGAAAGCAAACCCGAGCGGAUUACUCACCCCGGCCCCGGGUAAGGGCGGUGUAAUUCCGCCUGGGGCAAAGACACUUGAGAAUCACUACAACAGGCCCCUCCCCCCAGAAGAUCAACAAGAAAUCGGGCCGAGACCAAGUUCACCUACCAAGGAGUGCAGUUUCAAUACCAAGGAGAGCAGCAGAAUUCCAGAGGAGGAGAAAGCCAAGCACGGAACUCAUGGCUUUUUUCCUGUGAUUUUUUUUAGUCUUGCAGUUAAUUUAAUUUUUUCUUUUUCAUUUUUUUUUUCUUUUUUUUUUUUUCUCGCCUUCGGGUAAAAUUUUUUUUUUUUAACUGUUACCUUUUUCUUUUUUAACGAUUUUUUACUAGUUUAUCUAAUAUAUAUAUAUAUAUUUUUUUUUUUUUUACAUUUUUCUUAGGUGUUUUCUUUUUUUAAAAUUCUUUUCUUUUCUUUUCUUUUUUUUUUUUUUUCUUUUUUCUCUCUUCCUUUUUGAACCUCUUUUUAUCCCCUUUCUCCCCAC